CAAAUGUCAUCAAAUUGCGCGGGUCUUUAUCGCAUUAUGCGAAAAUAAAACAAAAGCUUUGGCUUUUAUUUGCGCAGGACAUUACAUUCAUCCCAGUUAUCUUGUGUAAUAUAAUUAAUUCGAAGAAAAAUGUCAAAGAAAUUGAAUAAAAGUGGUAGUGCCGGUACGCCUAACAAUAAUCUCUUCAAGUACUUUUCACGUUCACCACGAACGCCAAAUAGUAUACCCAAAACACCCAGUGAGGAGGAAACCAAAAAACCUACAGCAAAAGCGGAGAAGGAGAACUUACAAGCUGGGCAUGGCAAUGAAGAUAAUGGGCCUUUAGCUAAACGAAAGUUAGAUGUUGACGCUAAUCAGAGUAAGAGUGAUACAAUGGAUGUUGAUGAGGAUGAUGAAAGUAUUACAAUUAAACGGCCGUCCCAUAAAAGACAUCGCAUAAUAUUGUCCGAUGAUGAAGAGGAAAUCAAAAUUAAUAAAAACGGAAGUGAGAAGAAUAAUAGUGGCGAUGACUAUAAACCAAGCGACGAGGAUAACGCAUAUAGUAGUGAAGACGCUGAUUCGCCACCAAAAGGUCGUACCAAGAAAACUGAUGAACCGACGCAAAAGAAACCUAAACUGGAAAAGAGUAGUUUCAUGGAAAAGCUAGCUUCUUUGCAAGCCUCAGCAACUAUCUCAGAUGCUAAAGCAAGUGCUAAAAACGAUGCAAAAUAUGAAAAAAUUGUAUGCACAACGUCCACAUUGGACGAACCGGUGGUGUGGCCACAUCAAAAGCUUGACUUUUUGCAACCAGAUAAAAUAAAAGAUAAGAAUGGCAGACGCCCUGACCAUCCGGACUAUGAUCCCACGACAUUACAUGUACCAGAAAAAUACCUGAAUUCCUUAUCACCUGGUGUACGUCAAUGGUGGGUCUUGAAGUCAGAUAACUAUGAUUGUGUGCUCUUCUUUAAAGUGGGUAAAUUCUACGAAUUAUAUCAUAUGGAUGCGGAAGUUGGUGUCCAAGAGCUCGGUUUCGUUUAUAUGCGUGGGGAAUUCGCACAUUCCGGUUCGCCCGAAGUAAGCUUCGACAAAAUGUCAAGUAUACUGAUUGAUCGCGGCUAUAAAGUGGCACGUGUGGAACAAACUGAAACAACCGAAAUGAUGAGCGAACGUUGCAAAAAGACCAAACCGACGAAAUUCGAUAAAGUAGUGCGUCGCGAGAUCUGUCAGAUAUCUAAUCGAGGUACACAAGUAUUUGGAACGCAAUGUCAGAUUACGCCACAUUACCAGCCAAAUUACAUGUUGGCUGUGGUCGAAAAGAAUGAGGUCAGCUCCAGUAAAUACGGAAUUUGUUAUGUCGACACCUCAAUAGGUGACUUUUAUGUUGGCGAAUUUGAAGAUGACAAAAACGGUUCCCGGCUAUUAACUUUGCUCUCCCAUCAUAUGCCGGUUUUGUUAAUUUUUGAGCGUGGCUCUGUUUCUGAGCGUACACAUGAAAUAUUCCGUACUAUGCUCUCCGGCAUACUCAAAGAUCCAUUACCUGCCAAUGGCUCCAAAGUAUGCAGCGCUGAAAAGACACUAAAGUAUCUUGCUGAGAAUUAUUUUGCCAAAUUUUCAGAAGACUCAACUAGUGCAGACCUUUGGCCAUUAGCGUUGCGUACAAUGCAAUCCGAAACUGAUCACUUGGGUUUAACGCCGCGUGAUGGCUGCAAGCUAGCAUUAAAAGCGCUUGGUCAAUGCAUAUUAUAUUUGCAACGUUGUCAACUUGAAGAGAAGGUGCUGCCAAUGGCACGCUAUCACCUCUACACACCACCAGAUAUGUUAAAUGAGUCGGUAUUGGAUGCAAAGGCAAAAACUGUGCAGCAAAAAGCCGCUCGGCGCCGCCAUAUGGUCAUCGAUGCCACCACACUUGCUAAUCUACGCAUUACUGGCGAAGAGUAUUCGCUGCAAUCCACGCUAGAUAAUUGCUGCACGAAAUUUGGCAAACGUUUGCUGCAUCACUGGAUAUGCUCGCCAAGCUGUGAGUUGGACGUGAUUGUUGAACGGCAGCAGGCGAUUACCGAACUAAUAGAGCACAACAUGGAGUUUCAAGAUUUACGCGCUUUGCUGGCGCCAAUGCCUGAUUUCGAAAGACAUCUGGCGCAAAUACAUUUAUUCGGCAAUAAGCGUAUAUCGCAAGAUCAUCCGGAUGGACGUGCUAUACUCUUCGAAGAGAAAUUAUAUAAUAAGAAGAAAAUACAAAACUUUAUUGGUAUAUUGAAGGGAUUUACAGCGCUCAUGGAACUGCCCACGCUUUUUAAUGGCUUUGAAACGUCACUCAUGAAACGUUUGACGCAGUUGCAGCCAGCUGGCGGUUUCCCUGACAUGGCUAAAGAAUUGGAGUUUUUCAAGAAUGCUUUCGAUCACGAAGCCGGUGCGCAGACCGGUGUUAUUGCACCUGAACAAGGCGUGGAUGCAGAUUACGAUGAGGCAUUGGCGAAGAUUAAAAACAUAAACGACAAUUUCAAGGAUUAUCUUAUUGAGCAAGAGAAGUUCUUUGGCUGUCGUUUGACACCAGGUGGCGAAAAGAAUCGCUUCCAGCUUGAGGUGCCGGAAAAUGCGGCUAGAAAGGCCGGAAAAGCCUACCAAUUGGAGGGUCAGCGUAAAGGUAACAAGCCCGUGAGACGCUUCUCAACGAAUGAAACACGUUCACUACUAAAGGAAUUGCAACAUGCCGAAACCGAACGUGAUGUCAUACUCAAAGAUUUAUCGCGUCGUAUCUUUGAAAAAUUCUCCAAACACUAUGAACUCUGGAAGCAAUGUGUUGAUUGUGUAGCCAAUCUUGAUGUUUUAGCCUCGUUGGCAGAGUAUGCACGCGCACAGCAAGUCAUCUGUGUGCCUGAGCUGCACGAGCAAAGUGACGAAAAGCAGCCAUUCAUAGACAUUGCUGAGGGCUAUCAUCCAUGCGCCGCAGCGGACACUUUCAUACCGAAUGGGCUCAUGCUAGGCACCGGUGAGACAUCAGCACCGCUCUCCAUUCUAACUGGCCCCAAUAUGGGUGGUAAAAGUACGCUUAUGCGACAGGUGGGCUUGUUGGUAGUGAUGGCACAAAUCGGCGGGCAUGUGCCAGCCGAGCAUUGUCGCAUUUCGCUGGUCGAUCGCAUUUUUACGCGCUUGGGCGCGCAGGACGACAUCAUGGCUGGGCAGAGCACAUUUUUGGUGGAACUAAAUGAGACAUCGCUGAUUUUGAAGCAUGCAACGGUUAACAGCCUGGUGCUGCUUGAUGAAUUAGGACGUGGCACGGCCACCUACGAUGGCACUGCUAUCGCUGCUUCGGUAGUCAACUAUCUCGCAGAUUUGAAAUGCCGCACGCUUUUCUCCACUCACUAUCACAAUCUUAUUGAAUAUUUCCACAAAGACGAACGCAUAACCUUGGGUCACAUGGCUUGUAUGGUGGAAAACGAGGAUACCGAAGAUCCCACACAGGAGACGGUGACAUUCCUUUACAAAUACAGCGCUGGCGCAUGCCCGAAGUCGUAUGGUUUCAAUGCUGCCAAAUUGGCUGGCAUGCCACAACCGAUUAUAAAGCGUGCUUAUGAGCUUUCUAAACGCGUGGAGGCAAUCGCUUUGAAACGUAAGGUCCUGUCCAAAGUUGUUGCUGGCGCUGGUGGCAACAGAUGCAACGAUCUUAAAGAAAUUAAAAAUUUACUUUUGCAGCUAAAAGCUUGUCAUGUUUAAGCUAUUUGUUUUUGUUUUGUGCUGGAAUGAUUUUUGUUUGUUUACCUUACCAUAUGCACUUCUAAAUAUAAUACUAAUACGCAACGGCUUGAUUUGAUUUAUUUUAUUCAGCAUUAUCUCUCGCUAAUUUUUACAUUCAUCGCUAAUUUACGAAAUAUUUAUCACAGUAAAAUAAUAUUACAAUUAAAUAAAUGCUUAAAAAUAUUGCUUUUUAUAUAAACGAAAGGAAAAACUGUACAUAAAAAUUAGCUAUUCGAAACUAAAAAAUAGUUGAAUAAUUUGCGCAUUGUGUUUAUAUUCGAUAAAUCCCAAAUAUAAACACAGAUUUGUGCCAAUGCACACAUACUUAUAAAUUCUCGCUACAUGAUUAGUUAAAUAAGUGUGUGUGCGUGUGUAUAAUAUUGUCAGUUAUAAUAGAUUGUAAGUUCUGUAAACAUUAACUUAACAAAGCGGCAAAGAAAAUAGGAAUUUGAGUUUACUGAUUGUUUUGUGUUGCUUCUGUAUGCAUUUGGGUACGUGUGUAUGUGUGUAUGCGCGUUUUAACAAUGAAAAGCACAUAUAACGGUUUAUGCAAUAAUAUUGUUACAAUAAAUGUGUUGCUUAUAUAGUUUUGUUGCUUUUUAUACUCUUGCAACCAGUUGCUACAGAGUUUACUGCUAAAUUUCCUAAAAAAUCGGUGAUUUGGAAGACAUUUUUAAUUUUAUAAAUUUCUGCGUGAAUCCAAAUGUAUUUUUUCUUUAUUAAAAAUAUUCCCCAUUCGAUUCUGCAAAUUUCUGCAUUUUUAUUUUUUUUCUACGACUAGUAGUUUAGAAGUUAUAAGCAUUUUUGUUUUCGCGUGUAUUCGGCGGCUGCUUGCUGUAUGCUCCUGGUCGCCUGGUAGAAAUCUGAGAUUUUGCCACCAAAUUAAAUGCAAUUUUCUGCAGCGGCGGUGGAGGCAUUCAAAUUUGCGUGCAUACGCAAAGGGGAAAAAUGGGGAACACGGAUGCGGCCAUAUGCAAUUCCCGGAAACGGGAACAGGACAUCGCCCGGAAAUGGUAUAACGGUACCACACUUCCGGUUCAAAGUCUCAACCGGAAGUCACAAACCGGAAACGGAAGUUGAAGACCCGACCUCCGACCGAGAGCACCCGUUUCCGGUUCGUUAUUUCCGGCUGGCUGCGCAGGCCGGAAGCAUGGCAUCGACCGAAAGCUUCCGUUUCCGGUUCGCAACUUCCGGCCGACAGCCCAGCCCGGAAGUGUGGAACCGUUAUUCUGCUUCCGGUUUUCAACUCCCGUUUCCGUUUUCAACUUCCGUUUCCGGUUUGUGACUUCCGGUUGGGACUUCGAACCGGAAGUGUGGUGCCGUUAUUUCGUUUCCGGUCGAGGGCCUUUUCCUGUUUCCUACAUAUGGCCGCAUCCGCCCAUUUCGCCCCUUUGCUUAUGCAUUGAAUAUGGCCGCAUCCGUUUUCCCCAUCUCGCCCCUUUGCGUAUGCUGCAAAUUUGUAGUGCAUCUGCCGCCACUGCAGAAAAAAUUGCAUUCAAUUUGGUGGCAAAAUCUCAGAUUUCUACCAGGCGACCAGGAGCAUACAGCAAGCAGCCGCCGAAUACACGCGAAAACAAAAAUGCUUAUAAC